AUUGAACGCUGGCGGCAGGACUAACACAUGCAAGUCGAACGGUAACAGGAAGCAGCUUGCUGCUUUGCUGACGAGUGGCGGACGGGUGAGUAAUGUCUGGGAAACUGCCCGAUGGAGGGGGAUAACUACUGGAAACGGUAGCUAAUACCGCAUAACGUCGCAAGACCAAAGAGGGGGACCUUAGGGCCUCUUGCCAUCGGAUGUGCCCAGAUGGGAUUAGCUAGUAGGUGGGGUAACGGCUCACCUAGGCGACGAUCCCUAGCUGGUCUGAGAGGAUGACCAGCCACACUGGAACUGAGACACGGUCCAGACUCCUACGGGAGGCAGCAGUGGGGAAUAUUGCACAAUGGGCGCAAGCCUGAUGCAGCCAUGCCGCGUGUAUGAAGAAGGCCUUCGGGUUGUAAAGUACUUUCAGCGGGGAGGAAGGGAGUAAAGUUAAUACCUUUGCUCAUUGACGUUACCCGCAGAAGAAGCACCGGCUAACUCCGUG
rnacentral:rRNA from 1 species